GAUGAACGCUAGCGGGAGGCCUAACACAUGCAAGCCGAGCGGGAUUUGUUGGUUAGCUUGCUAACUAACAAUGAGAGCGGCGUACGGGUGCGUAGCACGUGUGCAACCUGCCUUUAUCUGGGGGAUAGCCUUUCGAAAGGAAGAUUAAUACCCCAUAACAUAUUGAUUGGCAUCAGUUAAUAUUGAAAGCUCCGGCGGAUAGAGAUGGGCACGCGUAAGAUUAGCUAGUUGGUGAGGUAACGGCUUACCAAGGCUGCGAUCUUUAGGGGGCCUGAGAGGGUGAUCCCCCACACUGGUACUGAGACACGGACCAGACUCCUACGGGAGGCAGCAGUGAGGAAUAUUGGACAAUGGGUGAGAGCCUGAUCCAGCCAUCCCGCGUGAAGGACUAAGGACCUAUGGUUUGUAAACUUCUUUUAUACAGGGAUAAACCUACUCUCGUGAGGGUAGCUGAAGGUACUGUAUGAAUAAGCACCGGCUAACUCCGUG
rnacentral:rRNA from 1 species